GCUGGCGGCACGCCUAACACAUGCAAGUCGAACGAAGUAGCAAUACUUAGUGGCAGACGGGUGAGUAACAUGUAGGUAUCUGCCCUUUGGCCUGGAAUAACACGAGGAAACUUGUGCUAAUACCGGAUAAGUCUUUACGGAGAAAGCUUUAUGCACCAUUGGAUGAGCCUGCACUUGAUUAGUUUGUUGGUGGGGUAAUGGCCUACCAAGACUGUGAUCAAUAGCUGAUUUGAGAGGAUGAUCAGCCACAUUGGGACUGAGACACGGCCCAAACUCCUACGGGAGGCAGCAGUGGGGAAUCUUGCACAAUGGAGGAAACUCUGAUGCAGCGAUGCCGCGUGAGUGAAGAAGGCCCUUGGGUUGUAAAGCUCUUUCGUCGGGGAAGAAAAUGACUGUACCCGAAUAAGAAGGUCCGGCUAACUUCGUGCCAGCAGCCGCGGUAAUACGAAGGGACCUAGCGUAGUUCGGAAUUACUGGGCUUAAAGAGUUCGUAGGUGGUUGAAAAAGUUAGUGGUGAAAUCCCAGAGCUUAACUCUGGAACUGCCAUUAAAACUUUUCAGCUAGAGUAUGAUAGAGGAAAGCAGAAUUUCUAGUGUAGAGGUGAAAUUCGUAGAUAUUAGAAAGAAUACCAAUUGCGAAGGCAGCUUUCUGGAUCAUUACUGACACUGAGGAACGAAAGCAUGGGUAGCGAAGAGGAUUAGAUACCCUCGUAGUCCAUGCCGUAAACGAUGUGUGUUAGACGUUGGAAAUUUAUUUUCAGUGUCGCAGCGAAAGCGAUAAACACACCGCCUGGGGAGUACGACC
rnacentral:rRNA from 1 species